ACGCUCGACACCUACGGGAGGCAGCAGGUGAGGAAUAUUGGUCAAGUGGACGCAAGUCUGAACCAGCCAUGCCGCGUGCAGGAUGACGGCUCUAUGAGUUGUAAACUGCUUUUGUACGAGGGUAAACGCAGAUACGUGUAUCUGUCUGAAAGUAUCGUACGAAUAAGGAUCGGCUAACUCCGUGCCACAGCCGCGGUAAUCUGAGCGGGCUGGCAAGGC
rnacentral:rRNA from 1 species